CCGAGUUAUACAACUCCCAAACCCCUGUGAACUUACCUAUAACGUUGCUUCGGCGGGAAACCGACGGCCCUGUAAAACGGGCCGCCCCCGCCAGAGGACCCCCCAACUCUUGUUAUAUUAUGUUUCUCUGAGUACAACAAGCAAAUAAAUUA
rnacentral:misc_RNA from 1 species